AUUGAACGCUGGCGGCAUGCCUUACACAUGCAAGUCGAACGGUAACAGGUCUUCGGAUGCUGACGAGUGGCGAACGGGUGAGUAAUACAUCGGAACGUGCCCGAUCGUGGGGGAUAACGGAGCGAAAGCUUUGCUAAUACCGCAUGCGAUCAACGGAUGAAAGCAGGGGACCGCAAGGCCUUGCGCGGACGGAGCGGCCGAUGGCAGAUUAGGUAGUUGGUGGGAUAAAAGCUUACCAAGCCGACGAUCUGUAGCUGGUCUGAGAGGACGACCAGCCACACUGGGACUGAGACACGGCCCAGACUCCUACGGGAGGCAGCAGUGGGGAAUUUUGGACAAUGGGCGAAAGCCUGAUCCAGCCAUGCCGCGUGCAGGAUGAAGGCCUUCGGGUUGUAAACUGCUUUUGUACGGAACGAAAAGCCUUUUUCUAAUAAAGAGAGGUCAUGACGGUACCGUAAGAAUAAGCACCGGCUAACUACGUGCCAGCAGCCGCAGUAACAC
rnacentral:rRNA from 1 species